rnacentral:lncRNA from 1 species
AUAUAUUGGCUCAGAUGGAGAAGUACGUCAGGGCAAACGAAGCAAUUGAGGGUGAGCCCCCAGUGAACGAGGUCGAAGAAAGGAAAGAAGACAAAUCGAAAUCUCCAUUAAAGGAUCGACAGUGCUCUCGCUCUCUACCCAGACAUCGGAGAUCCCAAACUUCCCCAUGGAACCCUCGACAGAAGAAUAAUUUUAGAAGAGAGCGACAUGUAUCUCUGCCUAGGAGAUUUAUGAACUACACCUUACUGAACGCCGCCUAAGCACAAGUGCUGAUGGAGAUCAGGGAUCAUAUCCUCCGUGUAGGUAAGCUGUAGAUUAGUCCAAGCCAGCGAAACCACAAUGAAUACUACCUGUACCACCACAACCACGGCCAUGACCCUGAAGAUUGCAUUCAGCUUCGGGAUAAGAUAGAAGAGCUCAUUUGGCAUGGGUGCUUGGAUCAAUUUAUCAGGCAUCGAUAAGAGCGGCAGGAAGA